AUGGCGUCUGCCAUGAGCUCCUCUGUUCUCAGAGUGGACACAAUCGGCUCGGCUUUUUUCCAUUGUACUGCCAAAAUUCACCGAUUUUGAGCACCAAAGGGAGCUUUUCAGAGGGAAUACAGAGGACUUAGGUGUGUCUGCAGGGAGGACUUGUCCAGCUGCUUUGCUGAUUCCUACACAAAAGCCCAGCUCCCAUGGCAGAGGUCCUACGAGGGGAAAGAACAAAUCUACAGGACACCAGAAACACCAUGAGCCAUCCAAAAACAUGAGGCAAAUGCUGAAAGAAUUGCUGCAGGGAGGACAAGAAGUGGAUGGAGAGGCUGGGCAGAAGGCGGUGUUUCCUGAAGGAAGCAGUGGUUCCAUGCCAGCAUCUGCUGUAGGACUGGAGGCGAUGCCAGGCACAGUCACAGGAGCUGAACCUGCUGGUGAAGGUGGAGCAGCUUCCCAAACCACGUCCAGGACUGAGCCUCUGGGAGAUGCUGAGG